UACGUAGGGUGCAAGCGUUGUCCGGCUUUAUUGGGCGUAAAGAGCGUGUAGGCGGCCGUACAGGUCAGCUGUGAAAACUCGAGGCUCAACCUCGAGACGUCGGUUGAAACCGUACGGCUAGAGUCCGGAAGAGGAGAGUGGAAUUCCCGGUGUAGCGGUGAAAUGCGCAGAUAUCGGGAAGAACACCCGUGGCGAAGGCGGCUCUCUGGGACGGUACUGACGCUGAGACGCGAAAGCGUGGGGAGCGAACAGG
rnacentral:rRNA from 1 species